rnacentral:rRNA from 1 species
UGAGGAAUAUUGGUCAAUGGGCGAGAGCCUGAACCAGCCAAGUCGCGUGAAGGAAGAAGGUUCUAUGGAUUGUAAACUUCUUUUGCAGGGGAAUAAAGGACGGUACGUGUACUGUUUUGUAUGUACCUUGCGAAUAAGGAUCGGCUAACUCCGUGCCAGCAGCCGCGGUAAUACGGAGGAUCCAAGCGUUAUCCGGAUUUAUUGGGUUUAAAGGGUGCGUAGGCGGUUUGGUAAGUCAGUGGUGAAAGUUUGCAGCUUAACUGUAAAAAUGCCGUUGAAACUGUUAGACUUGAGUGUAAAUGAGGUAGGCGGAAUGCGUGGUGUAGCGGUGAAAUGCUUAGAUAUCACGAAGAACUCCGAUUGCGAAGGCAGCUUACCAAGCUACAACUGACACUGAAGCACGAAAGCGUGGGGAUCAAACA